rnacentral:rRNA from 1 species
GGUAACACUAACUGGAGGACCGAACCGACUAAUGUUGAAAAAUUAGCGGAUGACCUGUGGCUGGGGGUGAAAGGCCAAUCAAACCGGGAGAUAGCUGGUUCUCCCCGAAAGCUAUUUAGGUAGCGCCUCGUGAAUUCAUCUCCGGGGGUAGAGCACUGUUUCGGCUAGGGGGCCAUCCCGGCUUACCAACCCGAUGCAAACUGCGAAUACCGGAGAAUGUUAUCACGGGAGACACACGGCGGGUGCUAACGUCCGUCGUGAAGAGGGAAACAACCCAGACCGCCAGCUAAGGUCCCAAAGUCAUGGUUAAGUGGGAAACGAUGUGGGAAGGCCCAGACAGCCAGGAUGUUGGCUUAGAAGCAGCCAUCAUUUAAAGAAAGCGUAAUAGCUCACUGGUCGAGUCGGCCUGCGCGGAAGAUGUAACGGGGCUAAACCAUGCACCGAAGCUGCGGCAGCGACACUGUGUGUUGUUGGGUAGGGGAGCGUUCUGUAAGCCUGUGAAGGUGUGUCGUGAGGCAUGCUGGAGGUAUCAGAAGUGCGAAUGCUGACAUAAGUAACGAUAAAGCGGGUGAAAAGCCCGCUCGCCGGAAGACCAAGGGUUCCUGUCCAACGUUAAUCGGGGCAGGGUGAGUCGACCCCUAAGGCGAGGCCGAAAGGCGUAGUCGAUGGGAAACGGGUUAAUAUUCCCGUACUUGGUGUUACUGCGAAGGGGGGACGGAGAAGGCUAUGUUGGCCGGG